rnacentral:rRNA from 1 species
CACGUAGGGCGCGAGCGUUGUCCGGAUUUACUGGGCGUAAAGAGCGCGCAGGCGGUCGUACAAGUCGCGUGUGAAAGCCCCCGGCUCAACUGGGGAGGGUCACGCGAUACUGUUCGACUCGAAGGCAGGAGAGGGAAGUGGAAUUCCCGGUGUAGUGGUGAAAUGCGUAGAUAUCGGGAGGAACACCAGUGGCGAAGGCGACUUCCUGGCCUGUUCUUGACGCUGAGGCGCGAAAGCUAGGGUAGCAAACGGGG